AGAAACCAACCCUUCACUUUGGGAUAACCCAAGGAAACUUGGGCUAAUACCGGAUAUCCCGGUUGGAUCGCAUGAUCCUUCCAGGAAAGCUCCGGCGGUGAUGGACGGUCUCGCGGCCUAUCAGCUAGUUGGUGAGGUAACGGCUCACCAAGGCAACGACGGGUAGUUGGAGUGAGAGCUCGAACAGCCACACUGGGACUGAGACACGGCCCAGACUCCUACGGGAGGCAGCAGUGGAGAAUCUUGCACAAUGGGCGAAAGCCUGAUGCAGCCACGCCGCGUGAGGGACGAAGGUCUUCGGAUUGUAAACCUCUUUCAGUCGUGAAGAAGCGCGAGUGACGGUAGCGACAGAAGAAGCCCCGGCUAACUACGUGCCAGCAGCCGCGGUAAUACGUAGGGGGCAAGCGUUGUCCGGAAUUAUUGGGCGUAAAGGGCGCGUAGGCGGUCCACUAAGUCGGAUGUGAAAUCCAGGGGCUCAACCCCUGAACUGCACCCGAUACUGGUGGACUUUCUUAAUACGACUCGCUAUAGGGCGAAUUGAAUUUAGCGGCCGCGAAUUCGCCCUUGACUACAGGGGUAUCUAAUCCCUUUCACGCGUUACUCACCUGUCCGGGACUACUGGGGUAUCUAAUCCCAUUAUCACGCGUUACUCACCCGUCC
rnacentral:rRNA from 1 species